GACGAACGCUGGCGGCGUGCUUAACACAUGCAAGUCGAACGGAAAGGCCUGCUUUCCCUUGUGGAUUGCGGGUACUCGAGUGGCGAACGGGUGAGUAACACGUGAGUGAUCUGCCCCCAACUUGGGUAUAAGCCUGGGAAACUGGGUCUAAUUCCCGAUAGGACUGCAGGGUGGUGCCUGUGGUGGAAAACGAUUUUCUAGUGGUUGGGGAUGAGCUCGCGGCCUAUCAGCUUGUUGGUGGGGUAAUGGCCUACCAAGGCGGCGACGGGUAGCCGGCCUGAGAGGGUGGACGGCCACAUUGGGACUGGGAUACGGCCCAGACUCCUACGGGAGGCAGCAGUGGGGAAGAUGGCACAAUGGGCGGAAGCCUGAUGCAGCGACGCCGCGUGGGGGAUGACGGCCUUCGGGUUGUAAACUCCUUUCGACCGCGAGGAAGCCACCUGGUUGGAAGGGUGGUGACGGUAGUGGUAGAAGAAGCACCGGCUAACUACGUG
rnacentral:rRNA from 1 species